rnacentral:snoRNA from 1 species
GGUCUCCUGCUGCUUUAUCACAGGCUGUGUUCUUUCACUGACUGUAUGAAAAGAGGAGGCAGAGUAAACCUACCCCAUAUAUACCUCAGCCCAGGCCUUGUGCCGUCUGUAUUAUGACUGGGGAAACAUGA